rnacentral:rRNA from 1 species
CCUACGGGAGGCAGCAGUGAGGAAUAUUGGUCAAUGGCCGGAAGGCUGAACCAGCCAUGCCGCGUGAAGGUCAGUGCCCUAUGGGCGUUAAACUUCUUUUGUGCGGGAGCAAUAAUGGUCACGUGUGGCCAGACGAGAGUACCGUACGAAUAAGCAUCGGCUAACUUCGUGCCAGCAGCCGCGGUAAUACGGGGGAUGCAAGCGUUAUCCGGAUUUAUUGGGUUUAAAGGGUGCGUAGGCUGGGAGGUAAGUCAGCGGUGAAAUGCCCCCGCUCAACGGGGUGAAGUGCCAUUGAUACUGCCUGGCUGGAAUGCGGAUGCGGUGGGAGGAAUGUGUGGUGUAGCGGUGAAAUGCAUAGAUAUCACACAGAACACCGAUUGCGAAGGCAUCUCACGAAUCCGCGAUUGACGCUGAUGCACGAAAGCGUGGGUAUCAAACAGGAUUAGAUACCCGAGUAGUC